rnacentral:lncRNA from 1 species
CGCCCCGUCUGGGAGGUGAGGGGCGCCUUUGCCCAGCCGCCCCUACUGGGUAAUGAGGAGCCCCUCUGCCCGGCCAGCCGCCCCGUCCGGGAGGGAGGUUGGGGGGUCAGCCCCCCGCCCGGCCAGCCGCCCCGUCCGGGAGGUGAGGGGCGCCUCUGCCCCGCCGCCCCUCCUGGGAAGUGAGGAACCCCUCUGCCGGGCCACCACCCCGUCUGGGAGGUGUGCCCAACAGCUCAUUGAGAACGGGCCAGGAUGACAAUGGUGGCUUUGUGGAAUAGAAAGGCGGGAAAGGUGGGGAAAAGAUUGAGAAAUCGGAUGGUUGCCGUGUCUGU